UACAGAGGGUGCGAGCGUUGUCCGGAAUCACUGGGCGUAAAGGGUGAGUAGGUGGCCUGUUAAGCGUGUGGUGAAAGCCUGGGGCUCAACCCCAGGUCUGCCGUGCGAACUGACAGGCUUGAGCAGAGUAGAGGCGAGUGGAAUUUCGGGUGUAGCGGUGGAAUGCGUAGAUAUCCGAAAGAACACCGGUGGCGAAGGCGACUCGCUGGGCUCUUGCUGACACUGAAUCACGACAGCGUGGGGAGCAAACAGG
rnacentral:rRNA from 1 species